ensembl:snRNA U6 U6 spliceosomal RNA
GUGCUCACUUUGACAGCACAUAUACUACAACUGUAACAAAACAGAGACUAGCAUGGACCCUGUGCAAGGAUGACACAAAAAUUCAUGAAGCAUUCCAUACUUAA